AUUGAACGCUGGCGGCAGGCCUAACACAUGCAAGUCGAACGAGUGGCGGACGGGCGAGUAAUGUCUGGGAAACUGCCUGAUGGAGGGGGAUAACUACUGGAAACGGUAGCUAAUACCGCAUACCAUCGGAUGUGCCCAGCUGGGAUUAGCUAGUAGGUGGGGUAACGGCUCACCUAGGCGACGAUCCCUAGCUGGUCUGAGAGGAUGACCAGCCACACUGGAACUGAGACACGGUCAAGAUUCCUACGGGAGGAAGCAGUGGGGAAUAGUGGACAAUGGGCGCAAGCCGGAUACAGCCAUGCCGCGUGUAUGAAGAAGGCCUGCGGGUUGUAAAGUACUUUCAGCGGGGAGGCGUUACCCGCAGAAGAAGCACCGGCUAACUCCGUGCCAGCAGCCGCGGUAAUAC
rnacentral:rRNA from 1 species